UACGGAGGGUGCGAGCGUUGUCCGGAAUCAUUGGGCGUAAAGAGUUCGUAGGCGGACUUGUAAGUCAGAUGUUAAAGGCGCGUGCUUAACACGUGUAUGGCAUUUGAUACUGUAAGACUAGAAUGCGGUAGAGGUAAAGGGAAUUCCCGGUGUAGCGAUGAAAUGCGUAGAUAUCGGGAGGAACAUCGGAGGCGUAAGCGCUUUACUGGGCCGUAAUUGACGCUGAGGAACGAAAGCCGGGGUAGCAAAU
rnacentral:rRNA from 1 species